CGGAUUCUGGCUCAGAUUGAACGCUGGCGGCGUGCUUAACACAUGCAAGUCGCGCGUGAAAGGACUUCGGUCCGAGUAAAGCGGCGCACGGGUGAGUAACGCGUGGAUGAUCUACCCAUGAGUUAGGAAUAACGGCUGGAAACGGUCGCUAAUACCAAAUACGCUCCGAUUUCAACUUCGGGGGAAAGGUGGCCUCUGCUUGCAAGCUACUGCUCAUGGAUGAGUCCGCGUCCCAUUAGCUAGUUGGUGGGGUAACGGCCCACCAAGGCGACGAUGGGUAGCCGGUCUGAGAGGAUGACCGGCCACACUGGGACUGGAACACGGCCCAGACUCCUACGGGAGGCAGCAGUGGGGAAUAUUGCGCAAUGGGCGAAAGCCUGACGCAGCGACGCCGCGUGAGGGAUGAAAGGUCCUCGGAUCGUAAACCUCUGUCAGGAGGGAAGAACCGCCACGGUGCUAAUCAGCCGUGGUCUGACGGUACCUCCAAAGGAAGCACCGGCUAACUCCGUGCCAGCAGCUGC
rnacentral:rRNA from 1 species